rfam:Brassica napus, WGS project CCCW01000000 data, contig: 11433
GUGUGUAUUGACAGGUGGUGGAACAAAUAUGAGUUUGUAUAGUAGUCGAACAAAAUGAAACUCAUAUUAGUUCUACCUCCUGUUGAAGCCCACA